CGUCGUCAUUGUUCGUGAGUUAUUUGCCGAAAUGCCUCGGCCUUGUGUCGCGACGUGCUGUUGACAUUAGGCAAAUAGUUGUUGAGUGCCCAUAAGAAAAGAACAGGCCACGUAAAUCAACCGCAAAAUGGGAACGAUACGGGUUUGUUCUCGCAAAGCGAAUGGAUUUCACGCCAGUGUCGAUAAGCAUUCUUUGUUACAAACGCUUAGAAGAUCUCUGUUUUCUCAAUCGGAUUGGCAAAAAAGGUAGGGAUCCCAAGGUGUUCCAAGACCAGACGGAAGACAUUGUCUCUCCAGCGUGUCAUGUCCCAUAUGUCAUGACCGGGACCUCCUGCCGGUUGGACUUGCCCGCACCACCUCACCAGGGAGACAUCCGGGAGGCUUUCUAACCAGAUACCCGAGCCACCUCCUCCGGCUCCUCUCAAAGUGGAGGAGCAGUGGCUCUAAGUCAUUGCAGAUAUUUUUUUUUGAAAAAAAUAACAAACAAACAAAAAAUGCUAACUAUAAUAUGGAACAGUUGAAUAGGCAACACAUUUGUUUUGACCCCCAUCAGGUAACACACAUUUACAAUUGCAAAACUUUCUCUUCAUCUUUCAAGAGCAGGUGUGAAGGCUUGUGGACAAAAUUACAAAUAUUUGGAACAGCGUCACUUCCUUUACUCGUGAAAAAGACUUUCGCCAGGGUGCAAUUGCGGAAUGUGAUUGCUCAACAUGACGCAGAAUUAAAUAAUGUGGUGGCAGUAUUUAGUGCGAUUGCUCAACACAACCAAGAAUGAAACAAUGUGGUGGCAGUAUUUAGUGCAAAUGCCAAACCCAACUCAGAAUGAAACAAUGUAGAUGCAGUAUUCAGUACGCUUGCUCAACACAACAACAGAAUGAAACAAUGUGGUGGCAGUAUUCAGAUGGAACUAGGACCCUAAUCAAGGGAUCAUUCCCAUGGAGAAAACCUCCCACAGCAGCACACCAAAACUCCAGACGUCACUCUCGGUGGUAUAACGACCUGCAAAAUAAGCGACGUGUAAUACCGUAGUUGAGUGCUUCGGGAGCCGUCCAUUUGAUUGGAAUCUGUCUGAGACUGCCCACCGCUGAAUAGACGCCAUCAUCCUGCUGCCGCGACAUCCCAAAAUCACUGAUCUUGACGACGCGCUGCUCCGUCACUAGACAGUUUCGGGCCGCCAGAUCUCUGGAAACAGACAAGACAGAUGUGAGCUGCUGUAUACACACAAGAUGAGGGCCAAACACAAAACGGGAAGGAUUCAGAUGGAGAGCAGGUACUCCAUGCCGGCCGCAACAUUUUCUGUCAUUCUGAUUAGCAUCUUAUGGGACAGACUUGAACCGUCCAGACGCAAGAAGGACAAGAAAUCUCCACCUUUUCAAAUGUGCACACAUACUAUAUCAGUUCAAUUACAAAGAAACAAAGUAAAGAUGAAAUAAACAAGCCAAGCACAGCGUACUAAUAUUUGAUAUCAAGUUUUCUCUUACUAUAAUGCCUUUUAACUUUCAUGACCAUGAGAAAUGAAUUUUUAUCAUUUUUAAGCAAUUUUGGAGGGGCGGGGGUUGUCGGGUUUUACAGUGUACAGGCAAGUCCAAAUUUGGAGUAGCAUAUCUAUGUAGUGCCAAAUUGUGCCACAACAUGCGCUGAUAUGAUGCACUGGUAGAUUAUUAUUAUAUUUAAGAGCAAGAAGAAGAGGCCUAGAUUUUUGACACACCUUUGACAAGCUCCAUUACAAUAUAGAUGGGAUGUUUCUGAGUGCACACACCGAUCAGUUUCACAAUGUUGGGAUGGUCGUACUGCUUCAGGAUCCUGCAUGACACAGCAACAGGAUGAUAUGAGUCCAGGCCAGGAUAUAUCCUACAUCUCACCAAAAAUGUGGAUUAGACUUCACUCAUGCAAGACCCACAACAAGGACCCAUUUGUCCUAUCCAAGGAGAAAAAGCAAGACAGUCCUUUAGCAGUGAGUGGGUCCUAUUUUAUCCAAAUGGACGAGUUAAGUGAGUGAUCGCAUGGAGGAAACGGAGCAAAUGAUGCGCUACCUUGAGAACAGGUUUCCUCAGCUCUAUAUCACACUUGCGAGUGAUAUGCUGUCGGGAGGAGAGCAUAUGAUGGAUCAUAUGAGGGAUGCUGCUGAAGCUCUCCCCAUCCAGGCGGUACUCAUUCUCCAUCGCAUCCACAAAAGCAUUCGCAAAGGUGAUAAAACAGACAAAAGAUACUUUGGGAGUGAAAUUGCAAAAAUGUUGCAGAGUGUGAAAGGAGCUUCGCUUACGUUUAGGCUCUGAAUGAGGAAAUGCUUGCAGGAGCCAUCCCAGUGGACAGAGAGCACAUAACCUUGUUUUUCUUGACUCUUCCUCACCAAGAAAUCUCCAUCACACUGCAGCAGCUGCUGAACCUCCGGCCUCGAAACAGCUCCGUGGUACCAGUCCUGCUGCUCCAGAGGACGAUCCACCUCAUGUAGCUGGAACACAGAGGAGAAGAGAAAAUUGGAAACAGGUGGCAUGAUUUUGAGGAAAAUUAAUGGAGAUGCUUGGCAAGGGAAGCUGUCAUGUUUGGCUCUGCCAAGCACGUUUUUGGUAGCGUUUGUUACCUCUGCCAAGUGAGAAACGGUUAGAGGUAUUGUUUUGUUUUGAUUUGUUUUUCCCUGGAUGUGUAAGGGGAUCAUAUUCAGUUAUGAUGGGAAUCCAGUCAAAGAAAUGCUGGCUGUUCUUGCUGUGCACGAUUUGGCCACUUAGGGGCAGUGUGGUGUCAUGCAUGCAUAGAUGUACACUUAAAUUAAGAUUUUUUAAAAAAAGUAGAAAAACGUUUUGAGUUUCAUUAUUGUGACUCAGGUUUCACUGAUUCAGAACAAUCUUUGAGUAUUGUUACAUCACCUGUCUGAUUGUGUUACCACAGCUUUGUGUGGGAACAUUUGUUAUUUGAAGUACUAUCACUUUCACAACUAGAUGCUAAUUUCCUCUUUGCAUAUCAAUGGUAUUUUGACUAGAUCGUUAGCAUUAGCACCCCUAAAGUACUGUAUGUCGCUUAUUUAAAUAAGCAAUGUGUGUCAUUCUUUUUGUUGUGUGAUUAGUUUUACAGCUAACAACAGUUCUUGUGGUGUCUCAAAUUUACAAGACAUUUAUCUUCACUUUACAGGCACUUAGUUU